UUGAAGGAAUCUUACAGAUCAUCUUGUCCGGUGCCUCUCAAACUUUUCUCUGAACCAUGAAUCUCAGGAAAAAACACAAACAAUAGCAGUGAAUACCUUCUCUUUACAGACAAAAAACAAGAAGCUAAGUGCCAAAGGGUCAGUUCUAAUCUUUGGAAGGCACUGAAGGAAUUCUAAACCGAAAAUAUUGGACUUGAUACCAUCACAUCUAUUCUUCCAUACUUCUGACAUUUUACCUGAAUUAUCAUGACCAGCAUUCUUCCAUCUUGUUCCACAUUCCUUAAUUCUAAUCUUGGUCACCUUUCCAGGUAGGUUCUAUGCUCAACGUGGGGCUCAAACUCACAGCUUCAAGAUCAAGAUUUGCAUGUUCUAACAACUGAGCCAGCCAGGCACCCCUUUACCUAUCUAUUUGCAUCUCCGAUUUUCAUUGCCUCCAGAAUUCACCUUUAUUUAUUCCACAAGCCUCUUAAGCACUCCCUAUCUUACUUUUGGACUACCUUGAGAUCAAUAUUGUUGAUUUUCCAGAUCUCUCAAAAAUUUUAUUCUGUCUGUUGACCUGGACUCCCUCCCCACCUUCCAGGACAUUCUGUAGCUGCUAUUGCAAGGCCCAUUCCACCUUGUAGGUCUAGGUCAGAGUCUCCAUAAUCUCCCAUCUACCUGUGAUCUGGACUAUAAUAAAACUCUUCAAAUGCAAAAAAGACCAUUUUCUUCAUACCUCA